GCCUACGACCAUAUCACCCUGAAUGCGCCAGAUCUCGUCUGGAUCUCGGAAGCUAAGCAUGGUCGAGCCUGGUUAGUGCUUGGAUGGGAGACUGCCUGGGAAUACCAGGUGUUGUAGGCU
rnacentral:rRNA from 1 species